UACGUAGGGUGCGAGCGUUAUUCGGAUUUACUGGGCGUAAAAGAGUAUGUAGGUGGUAAAUUGCGUCUCCGAUUAAAGACCCAAGCUCAACUUGGGGAAUGUUGGAGAUACGGGUUUACUAGAGGUUUGCAGGGGCAGAUGGAAUUCCUGGUGUAGCAGUGAAAUGCGUAGAUAUCAGGAAGAACACCGAUGGCGAAAGCAGUCUGCUGGGCUUAUCCUGACACUGAGAUACGAAAGCGUGGGGAGCGAACGGG
rnacentral:rRNA from 1 species